rnacentral:rRNA from 1 species
CCUACGGGGCGCAGCAGUGAGGAAUAUUGGUCAAUGGACGAGAGUCUGAACCAGCCAAGUAGCGUGAAGGAUGACUGCCCUAUGGGUUGUAAACUUCUUUUAUAUGGGAAUAAAAUGUUCCACGUGUGGGAUUUUGUAUGUACCAUAUGAAUAAGGAUCGGCUAACUCCGUGCCAGCAGCCGCGGUAAUACGGAGGAUCCGAGCGUUAUCCGGAUUUAUUGGGUUUAAAGGGAGCGUAGGUGGAUUGUUAAGUCAGUUGUGAAAGUUUGCGGCUCAACCGUAAAAUUGCAGUUGAAACUGGCAGUCUUGAGUACAGUAGAGGUGGGCGGAAUUCGUGGUGUAGCGGUGAAAUGCUUAGAUAUCACGAAGAACUCCGAUUGCGAAGGCAGUUCACUGGACUGCAACUGACACUGAGGCUCGAAAGUGUGGGUAUCAAACAGGAUUAGAUACCCUAGUAGU